GUGAGGAAUUUUCCGCAAUGGGCGAAAGCCUGACGGAGCAAUGCCGCGUGAAGGAUGAAGGCCUAUGGGUUGUAAACUUCUUUUCUCAGAAAAGAAUUAUGACGGUAUCUGAGGAAUAAGCAUCGGCUAACUCUGUGCCAGCAGCCGCGGUAAGACAGAUGAUGCAAGCGUUAUCCGGAAUGAUUGGGCGUAAAGCGUCUGUAGGUUGUUUAAAAAGUAUUCUGUCAAAGAUUAGGGCUUAACCCUAGAUAGGCAGAAUAAACUUUUAAGCUAGAGUUUGGUAGAGGCAGAGGGAAUUCCCGGUGGAGCGGUGAAAUGCGUAGAUAUCGGGAGGAACACCAAAGGCGAAGGCACUCUGCUGGGCCAAUACUAACACUGAGAGACAAAAGCGAGGGGAGCAAAUGGGAUUAGAUACCCUAGUAGUCC
rnacentral:rRNA from 1 species